UAUUUAGGUUUGUGCUUAUCAUUUUUUCCACAACAUUUAUGUAUUUACAUUUUUACAUACUGCAACGAAAACAUCAAUAGGGAUAUUCCCUUAUGCUGGAAAAGCCAUCGAAAACCUCGAAAGUGUGAUAGCUUUGAUAUAACUGUAAACAUUUUUAUGAAAUAUUAUGCAGCUUCUUGGUUUUUCGAAUUUGAGAAAUCGCGUAAAUAGCUUUCAAGCUUCAAAACAGUUUUAAAAACUGGCAAAAAACAUAUUUUCGUUACUUCGCAUCUGUGAAUAUGCUAUUCAUUUUUCAUCCGAUCCACUCACUUACUAUUUUUUUCAUCAGCUUAUAAAAUAUGGUUUGUUGAACUUUGUCUAAUUUCCGCAAGUAUGAAUAAUUUUUUUACAGUUACAGGAAAUACAGUUUUUAGCUUGGCUGUUGCGCUGGUGAUCUCCCUCUUUGGCACAUUGCUGGGUCAAUCAUUAUGGUGAGAUUUGCAUUAAUUGAUCGCUUGAAACAGCGUACAUCGCUGUACCGGAGAUUGUGUAAUGACCAUGACUCGCUUCGUUACUUACGCAGACAUUUUGCUUAUACAUACAUACUUAUGUAUGUAUCUGCAGCACAUUGCGUGCUGCAUUCCAGUGGCAUGCAUUUAGUUAUACCAAUAAAAGCUUUAAAUAUAUUUUAAAUUUUAUUUCAACUUGCACACUAUACUAGUUUUUGCUUUUUUUUAUAAAAUAUGCAUGUACAUUUACAUACAUAUAUUGUUGGCAAUAGUUUAUUAGCAAUACUUUCUUUGCGUGAAGCAAAAACACAAAUGUUACUCAUUUAAUGAGUGGAGCUAUGACUGGAUAUGCCUGCUUUCUUUCUUUGUUUUACUUUACAUACAUAUAUAUUUAACAAAGAAAAUGUUCAAUAUUUCGAAUGUUGUUAUUUAAAUUAGUUAUUUCUACUUCGUUUUUCUGAGUAGAUAUUAAACAUAUUAAAGACGACAACGAAAAUAAAUUUCACGAGACAUUUAAAUUGUCAGACUA